AGCUGCCAGUCUCAUUGUUGCUCUUUUGUAGAUAAUGUGUCUUUUUUCUUCUGGCUGGUUUUUCCAUCUUCUCUGUCUUUGGUUCAGCAGUUUUAUUGUGAGUUGCAUAAUUGUGGUUUUCUCUAUACUUAUCCUGCUUGAGGGUUUGCUGAGCUUCUUAACCAGUGGGUUAAAUGUAUUUUAUCUGCUUUAGAAAAUUCCCAACCAUUAUCCCUUUGAAUAUUGCUUCUGCUCUAUUUCUUUCUCCUUGCCCUCUGAAACUUCAGUUUUACAUGGUAGACCUUUCAUACUUGUCCUGUAUGUCUCUUACAUUUGUUUCUUAUUUUUUCUCUUUCUUUUUUUCUUCCAUGCUUCACUUUGUAUAUUUUUCAUUGAUAUGUUUCCAGUUCACAAGUCUUGUAUUCAAUAGUGUCCAACCUAUUGUUAAACUCAUAUAUUGAGUUUUUAAAUUUAAUUUUGAAAUAAUUUACUUUGAAAUAUUUUUAUCAGAAAAGUUGCAAGAACAGUAGAAUGAACUCCCACAUUCUCUUCAUCCAGAUUCCUCAGUUAAUAGUUUCAUAUUUUCUCCAUCUCUUUUUGUAAAGAUGAUAGAUAGAUAGAUAGAUAGAUAGAUAGAUAGAUAGAUAGAUAGAUGUGUAUUUUCAAGGAUAUGAUACCUUUUUUGAAUAUUUUGAGAGCAAGUUAAGCAAGUUGAAACCUUUAUGUCCUAUCAUCUGUAAAUAUUCCUAUUACUACUUCUCCCAAAGACACUCUCCUACAGAGUAAUUGCCAAGCCUUUCAAAUCAGAAAAUGGACAGCGAUAAAUACCAGCAUUCAAACCACAGUUCAUUAUUAUCCAACGUUCCAGGCUUAUCUUGAAAUUUCUCUACCUCCAUCCUUGAAUCAUCCACUUUUACAAGGAGUCCUUGUUGUUUGUUAUGGAAAUUGGAACCUACAUACUUGUUAUUAAUUGCUACUGGGGUGUCAUUGCACCUAGGUCCUCUCCAUGGUCAGAAUUUUGAAAUAUAUGUAUGUAUUCAUGGAUAUGUACACAGACAUAUUCACUUGCAUUGAUAAUUUUUUUUGUUUCUUUCCUCCCUUCCCUUUCACUCUUUCCUUCUUUCCUUCCUUUUGCUCUUUCCUUCCUUCCUUCUUCCUUCUUACCAUAACAAUAGCAAUGAGUUAUUUUUUUCGCUUCCCCUUUUCAUAUUUGUAAAUUUGUUUUCCCACAGAGAGAAAUCCAGCUUCCAUUAGCUUCAAUAUAGAUACUUUCUUGAUCAAUCCUCCUUUACAUAAUUAAUUUCCUAAAAAUGCUAGGUACUGCCAUGGCCAACUCAUCACUCCUGAUUUCAUCUCCAGGCAAGUUGUCACUUUUGAACUCUUCUCCCCACCAAACCCUGGUCUGUUUGAUAUGCCACUGCCUCCAUGCCCCUGUCUCCACCUUCUGGCUGUUAGACACAUUGUUAACUGUGCACCCCAACUUACUCUUACCUUCACCUCCCUGGUGCUUCUUCUGCUGAGCAUACAACUGCCACCAUAUGUACCCCCUAUACAUGCUUCCUUGGACACCAGGCACUCUGCUGCCUCCACAUGGCUUUCCCAUUAUGACUUCUUUUGCCCCUAUGCACAUCACUAUCUGUAUGCCCGCCACCCUACUUUCUUGGCUGUUGGACACACUGCUAUCUCUACUGAUCCUUUCCACUGCAGUUUUCUCCAUAUAUUGAUUUCUUAACUGACGAUAGUAUAUUUUUUCAAAUUUAGAAUGCCUAAAGAAAUCUUUUUUAUAGGUUAGUUUUACUGAAAAUUGUCCAUUUCCUCAUCAAUUUUGCACUUUAUUUUCUUAAACAUAUUCAUAAAAAUUAUUUGUAAAUUCUCAUUUGCUGAUUACAAUAUCUUGAUCAUCUAUAAUUGUGUUUCUAUUGUGUGUGUUUUUUUCUCUUGAUUAUUGGGCAAAUGAACUUGAUCUUCCACAUCUAGUAAUUUAAAAAAUGUUAGACAUUAUGUAUAAUAAAACCAUAAAGGGUCCAGAUGAUAUUGCCUUCCACCGAAAGUGUUCCCUUUUUCUUCUGUUGGGCAGGUAGAAUAGCCUUUGAUCACCUCAAUCGAGUCAGAGAUUAUUCUGAAUCAGAAGCUGGUUUCAGUUUUGCUAAGUGUACCUCCGAUUCACUUCUGUUCUUAGGGUGUAGCCCUCCAGGGCUUUCAAUUGAGAGCCUGGUGGAUCUCUGUCUUCCAGCCCUAAAAGAUAACAGCAAGUUUUCAGUUUAGCUCUUUAACCUCCUGCUCCAUAAAGCUUCAAAAUUCAGCAACUCGCUUGAAAGGAAGACUGGCAAUGUGUUUGGGACACUCUAUAGUCUUCUGUGAAGAAUAGAGAUCUCUUUUGUUGUUUUCUUUGAGGGACAGCCUGUAGCUUUGCUCAGAAUCUGUAAAUAUUCCCAUCAAAAAACCACCUGUAAAUUACCAAUGUCAAUUCCCUACUCCCUCUUAUGUUUUUAUAUUUUACUUCUUUUGUUUUGGGGCUCCUCUUUUCCAUAGCAGUUCGUUGAUUCUCUAGCACCAUGACACUGUGGGGGACUUCACUUUGCAUUUCAGAAGUUUGGGGACUACUGUUUUAGCCUCCAUACAGUCUCAGAAUUCAGUUAAUGUCUUAAUCAUGUAUUUAGGGUUUCUCACACCUUCAGUGAGUCACCAAAGCCCCAUAUAACUGCUAAAAGUUUUGUUAGUUUAACUUUUUUCCGCAGCUGCAUCUUUCUGCCUGGACUCAGCCUCAUCCUUAGCCUGCACUCCAACCUGGCAAUUUUGCCAAGAGGAAAAAAUUGUGGACAUCAUCAAGUCAUUACUGGAAAGUUCUCACUUCUCUGGAAUUUUAAUCCAUUUAGUUCUUGUUUUUAAAACCCUCUGAUUCCUUUAUAAAUAUAUAAUUUACCUAGGUUUUUCUCGUUGUUAGUCCAAGUGUUGGCCUGCCACACUGACUAUAUCCUUUCUGGAAAUAGAAAUUCUCUCUGUUGCCCUUAAUGAAUUUAAAAAAAUAUUUUAUACCACUUUAUUGUUUAUUCUUAGUCCAAAACAUGUUUUCUACCAUUGUUGGAAGCAGAAGUUCUGGAAUUGGUUUCUAUAUAUUUUCAGAUCCCGUAAAAAUGAAUUAAGGUGAAUUUGAUUAAUGUAAAUUAGAUUUAUGUGAAUAAAGGAUAAAUAGUUAAGUUCAUCAUUGUUGCAAUUAGAGAAGUGGUACAGGUUCCCCAUUCUAGCACUGAGUAUUUGAAAUCAUACCUCUGCUAAGAUCCUGCAAAUAUUUCAGCUCACUCCCUGUGUGCAUUGACACAUAUUAUCAGCCCUCUCUUUUCUUAUAUUAAACAGGGCCACAAGAUGCAACACACGCUUUCUCAUUGCUUCACAAUUUUUUCUUCUUUCACUUUCAUUCAGUCACUUCAUAUCAGCUAUGUGUUAAGCAUAGGAGAUUUGUCAGUGAAAAAAGUAUCAAACUCCUCAUCUUUAUGGAGAUUACAUUGUAGUAGGAAGAGACAAACAAUAAACAAGAGCAAUAACACGCUUCAUAGUAGACAUAUAAUUCCAAGCAUGUGUACCUAUUAGUCUUAAAUACAGGAGAGACACUCAAGACAGAAAUAAAAUGUAAUAAAAUCCAAACCCUACAGUCUGCAGGGGACUUGGACAAGACCCCAAGAUUCUUCAAGGAUAGGAUAGGGGGGGACAACCUGUAACAAUUAAUGAAGGUGUAGUAUUCAGCUCUUCUAUUUCUACUGAUAAAGUUCUUUCUCCAUACAUUAUAAAACUUAGAUUGUUAUUGUUUUAAAUUGGGAAGGUUGAAAAUGUUGUGAUGUACAGGAAUAAGGAAAAUGAAUUCUUACGGUCUGUAUAUCUUGGUUUAAAAAAUGUAUGCCCUGGAGUUAAGUUUCAGGUGCCAUUUUCCCCUCUCCUAUGAGUCUAUCCCAUACAAAUGUUGUAACAUCUCCCCAGUUUCUACUGGUUAGAUCAGUAUUUGUUUUUGUUUCCAGAAUUUUCUGAUUUCUUGCUGAUCCAUGAAAUAGGAACUUCUUCUUACCUUCUGAAAAUAUUAAAAGGAGACUUACACCC
rnacentral:lncRNA from 1 species